rnacentral:rRNA from 1 species
GAUGAACGCUGGCUACAGGCUUAACACAUGCAAGUCGCGGGGCAGCAUGGGGGUUGCUUGCCAUCCCCGAUGGCGACCGGCGCACGGGUGAGUAACGCGUAUUCAACCUGCCCUUCACCACGGGAUAACCCGGCGAAAGUCGGACUAAUACCGUAUGUUGUCCAUUGACGGCAUCCGAUUUGGACGAAAGGCUUGGCGGUGAGGGAUGGGGAUGCGUCCGAUUAGCCAGACGGCGGGGUAACGGCCCACCGUGGCCACGAUCGGUAGGGGUUCUGAGAGGAAGGUCCCCCACACUGGAACUGAGACACGGUCCAGACUCCUACGGGAGGCAGCAGUGAGGAAUAUUGGUCAAUGGGCGUAAGCCUGAACCAGCCAAGUAGCGUGCAGGAUGACGGCCCUAUGGGUUGUAAACUGCUUUUAUGCGGGGAUAAAGUGGCCCACGUGUGGGCUUUUGCAGGUACCGCAUGAAUAGGGACCGGCUAAUUCCGUG